GUGGGGAAUCUUAGACAAUGGGGGCAACCCUGAUCUAGCCAUGCCGCGUGAGUGAUGAAGGCCUUAGGGUCGUAAAGCUCUUUCGCUGGGGAAGAUAAUGACGGUACCCAGUAAAGAAACCCCGGCUAACUCCGUGCCAGCAGCCGCGGUAAUACGGAGGGGGUUAGCGUUGUUCGGAAUUACUGGGCGUAAAGCGCGCGUAGGCGGAUUGGAAAGUUGGGGGUGAAAUCCCGGGGCUCAACCCUGGAAUGGCCUUCAAAAAUCCCAGUCGUGAGGUCGAGAGAGGUGAGUGGAAUUCCGAGUGUAGAGGUGAAAUUCGUAGAUAUUCGGAGGAACACCAGUGGCGAAGGCGGCUCACUGGCUCGAUACUGACGCUGAGGUGCGAAAGCGUGGGGAGCAAACAGGAUUAGAAACCCUGGUAUCC
rnacentral:rRNA from 1 species